rnacentral:RNase_P_RNA from 1 species
CUAGAUAGUUGGAUAGUCGCUAUUAGUUUACUAAUAGAGGAAAGUCCGGGCUCCAUAAGGACACAGUGCCAGUUAAUGGCUGGCGAGGGUGACCUCAGGGACAGUGCCACAGAAAAUAAACCGCCUUAUCAAGGCAAGGGUGAAACGGUGAGGUAAGAGCUCACCGGUUUUUUGGUAACAAAAAACGCAUGGUAAACCCCACUGGGAGCAAGGUUAAAUAGAGAAGACAUUGCACUAUUUUGUAGUGCUAAAAACAGUCCUUAGUUAGUCUUCUGGGUUAACUGCUUGAGCUUAAGUGCGAACUUAAGCCUAGAGAAAUGACUUCUUAAAUGACAGAACCCGGCUUACAGACUAUCUGGCACU